UGGCGGACGGGUGAGUAAUGUCUGGGAAACUGCCUGAUGGAGGGGGAUAACUACUGGAAACGGUAGCUAAUACCGCAUAACGUCGCAAGACCAAAGAGGGGGACCUUCGGGCCUCUUGCCAUCGGAUGUGCCCAGAUGGGAUUAGCUGGUAGGUGGGGUAACGGCUCACCUAGGCGACGAUCCCUAGCUGGUCUGAGAGGAUGACCAGCCACACUGGAACUGAGACACGGUCCAG
rnacentral:rRNA from 1 species